rnacentral:misc_RNA from 1 species
UUAAGUUCAGCGGGUAUCCCUACCUGAUUCGAGGAGUUCACGUGUCUUGCUCUCUCCCCCGACCGACAGACGGGCCAGGGCUGGCAGCCUCGCCGCGUACCGGCGCCAAUACGUCAUAUCACACUCGGCCACACGGCAGGCGUCCGCCCAUGGAUUCCAGCGCAGUGGCCGCCCACUUGGGCACGCCACCACACCCAUGA